CCUACGGGAGGCAGCAGUAGGGAAUUUUGCGCAAUGGGCGAAAGCCUGAUGCAGCCACGCCGCGUGAACGAGACGCCCUUCGGGGUGUAAAGAUCUUUCCGUGGGGACGAAACUUGACGGUACCCACAGACGAAGCACCUGCUAACUCCGUGCCAGCAGCCGCGGUAAUACGGGGGGUGCAAGCGUGGUCUGGAAUCAUUGGGCGUAACGUGUUCGUAGGCGGCACGUAAAGUCUGGUGUUAAAGGCAGGGGCUCAACUUCUGUACGGCACUGGAUACUUGCGAGCUAGAAUGCGGUAGAGGUAAAGAGAAUUCCAGGUGUAGCGGUGAAAUGCGUAGAUAUCAGGAGGAACACCGGUGGCGAAGGCGCUUUACUGGACCGUAAUUGACGCUGAGGAACGAAAGCCAGGGGAGCAAAUGGGAUUAGAUACCCCUGUAGUC
rnacentral:rRNA from 1 species